AGCGAACGCUGGCGGCAGGCCUAAUACAUGCAAGUCGAGCCGAGGUCCAUCCACUGGCAACAGUGGUGAAGACCUAGCGGCGAACGGGUGAGUAACACGUGACGGAACCUGCCCCGAAGACCGGGAUAACCCUCCGAAAGGAGGGCUAAAUACCGGAUAUCCCCACCGGACCGCAUCGAUCUGGUGAGGAAAUUGGAUUCCGCUUCGGGAGGGCCUCGCGGCCUAUCAGCUUGUUGGUGAGGUAACGGCUCACCAAGGCAU
rnacentral:rRNA from 1 species